UGCAUAAUGCAAGUGAUCAGUCUAGAAGAUGUGUUGAGAGACAAACAGUUUCCUCAAUUCCUCAAAUGAGUCUACUGUCUCAAGUGGAAGACGGCAAUACCAGUUUAGAGCUCCGCCAGAGAGGGUGGAGGGGAAGAGAAGACAUCAUUCUUCGUCGGUGUGUAUCCGAUAUGCCAUGGUGGACUCAAAGAGGUUAAAGUGUUCAAUUGGGUCUUCCCUUCCAGUAUAGAGUUGUAAACCAAGCUUUUGUUUUAUCUUCACUUGAAGGAGGGUGUCGAGGAUCCUUCUUGUGAGAGGGCCAGGCCUGGGUUGGUUCCAGUCAGGUAUCUCGGCCUGACGUUCGGCCUUCAACUUGUUUACUUCCUCAAAGAGCUGUAGGACAAGGGGGUCCUGAGUUGAGUCAUGUACCACUAGAAUUUUCUUUCGUAAGUCUCCAUCACCUCUUGGAAGUAGGAAAGUUUGAGCAAGGGCAUGCGGGUUUUUCUUGUACUCGCCGUAUUGACUUCUAGGGCGAGUCUGUCAGAAUACCUCAGAGUCCCCCGUACCUUCAUGUUCUUCUGGGACCUGUCGUUCCUUCCCUAGAUUGACAGCUAGCCUGGGUCGUGAGAAGGGACCGAGUCUUUCAGAAACUCUUAGGUUAUUGAUCUUCGAGAAUAUGUGGAGG
rnacentral:lncRNA from 1 species